CUUAGUGCGGUCAAAUAACCCAUCCACCUGUUACCAUGUCAACAUCAGGCCUGAAACAGUAUCUCUAAAUGAGAACACGUUGUCUCUAGCAACUAGGAUGUGCCUGUCAUCUGCCUCGUAAGUUGGAGAGAAAACAUGUUUGAUUUUUACUGUGGCAAAAGAACAUUGAAGGAAAAACCCUCAUGAUUUUUCUUUAUAGUUGUUCAUUAUGUCAUGUAGAAAUUAUAUGUUUGGCUCGAUGGAAGAAGACAAAUCUUUCAUCAUUUUUAUUUUAGUAGAUUUUUUAGGAAUGUGUUUCUUUAAAGCAAGCACUCUUAGUUAAUAUUACACAGGUAGUGCAAAGAUAUUAUAAUAUUCUCUUUUGGUAUGUGUGAUCUUGGUGACUAUGGUAAACAGAAUAAUGCCCCCUGCCCCAAGUUGUCCACAUCCUAAUUCCUGGAACCUGUGAAUAUGUUACCUUAUAUGGCAAAAGGGACUUUGCAAAUGGGAUUAAAUUAAAGAUCCUGAAAUGGGAUGAGUAUCCUGAAUUAUCCAGAUAGACCCAAUAUAAUCACAGAGUUCUUAUAAGGGGAAGACAGAAGAAGAAGGGUCAGAGUCAGAAGUGGAGAUGCAGCAUCAGAAGCAGAGGUCAGGAUACCCCAUUUGCCCUGAUGUGAUUAUUAUUCAUUGCAUGCCUGUAUCAAAAUAUCUUGUGUAACCUAUAAAUAUAUACAUCUACUGUUUACCCACAACAAUUUAAAAAUAAAUAAAUCACAUUAAAAAUUUUUUUAAAAGAAGCAGAAGUCAGAGAGAGAAGGAGUUGAGGAUGCUGUGUUGUUGACUUUGAAGAUGGAGGAGGGGGCCAUGAGCAAAGGAAUGCAGGCAGCCUCCAAAGCUGAAAGGGCAAGAAAGCAGAUUCUCCCCUAAAGCCCCCACAAAGAAACACAGCCUACCCACAGCUUGAAUUUUAGGACUUCUCCCCUCCAGAGGUGUAAGAUAAUACAUUUGUAUUGUUUUAAGCCACUGUGCUUAUAACUGGUUACAGCAGCCAUAGGCAACAAAUACAGUGACUCUAAAACAUUUAAUGUGACUUUACGUAUUAGGGUGGAUUAUUGACAUUUCUUAAGUGAAAAGGUAAUUUUUUUAUUUGGUAUUUUUCCUUUUAUAAACAUAUUCUUGCACAUUGGUUCUAGUGUUAGAAAAUGACAUCUUUACAAACAGAUCACGUUGUCUAUGGGAUACACUAUUUUAUUGUCUAUUGUUAUAUAUGUAGUUUAUAACUAACUUUAAUUCCAAGAGAGGGACUAAUAGAUAUGGGCUCAAUAAUUGUCUAUUAGAUCCUGCACAAAGUGGAUAUCACAGUUCAUAUUGUGAGAAGACACAAUAGUGAGAAUAGUUUUACCAAAAAUAAUGAAAUAUCAUAUAAUUGUCUGCCUUUUACCAUUGAUUUGAGUGCAUCUUUAGAAAACUGAAUGUAACAGAAACCCAGGACAUUUUUGGAAACUGUAUACUCUCUAGCAACUUUGUGUGCACUGUUUUAUGCAUUCUAUAAAAUGUUAUAAAAGUAGAAACAAAUUUUAAAAACAUAAGUAAAAUGAUAAUUAUCUGUUAAAUGUUAGACUAGUUCUUACUGAAACCUAGCUCUCAAGAAUCAAAAUCAGAUUUAUGCAAGUGAAUAAUUUCUUAGUAUUUAUUUGGUAUUUUUCCAUCUCCAGGCUAGCAGCUGAGUUGCUUUCCAGGAAGAAGAGUAAAUAUGGUAGAUUUAUUUUUAAUAUAUGUGUAUCCAUAACGUCUAGCUUAGUGUUUUGGCAAGUUAAAGUUUGCUAGCUGGACCUGUUAUAGUAAUUCUUUUUUGUUGCUAUUUCUUCCUCUCUCAGCUAAUACAAGAUUACAUAGGCAGAGGUUAGGCGGCUAGUCUAGGUACAGAAAAGUAGAACAAGUGGGUAGCAAGGCAAGCCACAAAUCUUAGCUGGGCCUAAGUUUGCAUUGUUCUACUCUAAGAGCCAACAAAUAAGGCUCUAUUAAAAAUUAUUUAACUCAUCUAAACUAUACAGAGUUAUUUGAUUUGGUCAGUUUCCUUGGGUUGGAGAAAUUAAAAAUGACUUAAAUUAAUGUGUAAUACUUACUGUUGAAUGUUUAAAUUCGGUGUGGAAAUUAGUCAAGCAACAGUCUUUCCCGUCUGUUUGGUGCAGCUGAACACAUGGGUCUAUAUAAAGUUCUUUUGCUCUCAAAUAUAAAUAGCAGCUCAAAAGAUAGCUGGAAAGUUGCAGGAAGUUCAACUGUUUUGCAAGGUCAAAAACAAUUCUCAUAUGAGGCCAUGAUGAUUUCCUACAGUUUGCUGUUGUGGUAAUUAAUGGGGCAUAUAAUCGGAUGUGCUCUUAAAUCAUUUACUGAAAUUUUCAGCCAAAAAUAAAAGGGUUUUAUUUUGUGUUUUGUUUUGGUAGCAGUAGUGGUGGUGAUUGUAGUUAAGGAUCGAGCCUCUUCACCAGAGAUAUUCGACUCUUGGGUAUUCAUAAGGUUUUCUCAGGAUCUGGCACAGCCUCGUCCUGACUCUCAAUCAUCCCUGGCCAUCCUGGAAGCUACCUCUGCAUGCUCCACCUCUGCGUGCUCCCAGAGCUGUGUUAUCAUUCUCAGUACUUUUAUUUAUGCUGAUACUGGCUAGCAAACAGAUUUGGAGGGGAGAAAUAAAAAACAGUUAUCUAUGAUAUUUUUUCCUUUCUUUGAAAUAUGUAUUGAAAACAAGUGCAUUGUUUUAGUCUUCUUUGGCACUGUAUCUCCAAAUUGCAAUUUAGUAUCUUAUAUUUCACUAUCAAUCAAAGUUCAGUUGCAAGAACAAGAAACCACUUUACCUUAACCAGAAAGGGAUUUAAUCUAAGGAAUUGGGUGCCUACGAAGUCUGUGGAAAGGCAGGGAGCAUGGGCUCCAGGCUGGCACCAGGAACUCCAUCCUGGAACAUGACACAGAACUGGGCCAUCAGCAGCACUACAGCAGGAACCACAGUCAGGUUGGUGCCUGCCAAUGAGAUGCAACCCAGACAAAAGCAUUUCAGUGAGCCCAGAAUGUUUUUUCAAUAAGGCAGCCUUUAAAAACCAAGCAACUUCACUAAAAUACCCAGAUUCUUAUGCAAAAUCAAUAUCUUUGACACCUUAUAAUUUUGGCUCUGUUUCCUCCUGGCUUUUAUCAGCUGGAGGGAAAAACCCUGGACCCCCUAGGUCACCACCCUCUGCAUCAUUCAUCUGUACUGUAACCCUGCCUGCUCCCAUAGGUAUGUCUGCUUUUAGACUUGAUGUGCACAAGAAGCUGAUAGAAAGGCCUAGGGUCUUAAUUAUGGACUUAGGGAAAUCGUAAGGAAAAAAGACAUAACAGUACUAAAGAAUCCUGAAGACAACAGCCUGAGAACUCCCAGAAGCAAUAUCCCUAUUUCCCUGACCCACCAUGCCCAACUCACAUUAUUUAAUUGGCACACUUCACCAGCAAACAAAAAAAAUUGCCAUAUUUUGUUCUAUCGUUUUUUUCCUUGAGUGUCCACCUAGUCCUACUUGGUGUUUCUUUAGGCAAUGAAUAAACACUAUUCUAAAUCUCAUCUGGCCAACUGAGUUUCAAAACCUAAUCCAGAUACCCUGGAAAAAAAAUUCAUUGAAAAGAAAAUAUGUUGAAUAUUGAUGUUUUAAAUUACAUGUGAGAUUUUUCUCUUUAUGAAUCAUUUUUCUGUUCAGGCAAAGUGGUCUUUUUUCUGAUUUUGACAUUAUGUUAUACAUAUCUGUGCUAAAAUAAGCUGUAAAUACUUCAACUAGCAGUUGUCAUUCUUUCAGUCUUUUUAGAAUCCUUAGGUUGGCAAGGUAUUGAUUAGUACCUGGAUGCCUCCACACCUUAAUUAUAUACUACAGUGGGACAUUGUUUUCUCUUAGAAUUACUCCUUUUUUUUAAGGAUUAUUUUUUGUAACUUCAAAAACUAAUAGCAACUCAUUCUUUUUUUAAUGUACUCCAAGAAAAAAAGAAUGGAAGGAAAGAAAGAGGAAGGAAAGAAAAAAAAAGUAUUAUCUUGAAAAUAUGUAUCUAACCUACUGAUUGGGAGUACGUAUUUUCAAGUUGUACUGUGCAGUCUUGUGUUAGAGCAUGCAGAUCGUAGGAAUAAAGAGAAACCAUUGUGGGCACUUGCUUCCCAGUCAACUAGUGAGAUCCAAGUUCUGAAUUUUUGAUACUUGCAUUUUUCUUUACUGGUAAGAAGGCUGUUCUUUUAAAAGAGUAUAAAUUAAGCACUAAGAAAUAUAGGGGCAGCUUUUCUUUGCUGCAUCUACUGUGAGAAUGAAGACCAUUCCCAGCAAUCAGACUGUCAACAUUCCAGAAAAUGUGGACAUUACUCCGAAGGGACACACAGUUAUCGUGAAGGGCCGCAGAGGGACUUCGAUCACAUCAGUGUAGAACUUAGUCUUCUUGGAAAUGGAAAAAAAGAGGCUCUGGAUUGACAAAUGGCAGAAUAGCAAAGGAGCUGGCUACCAUUUGGACUAUUUGUUGUCAUGUACAGAACAUGAUUAAGGCUGUUACACUGGGCUUCCCUUACAAGAUGAGGUCUGUGCAUGCUCACUUCCCCAUCAGCGUCGUUAUCCAGGAGAAUGGGUCUCUUCUUGAAAUCUGAAAUUUCUUGGAUUAAAAAAUAUAUCCACAGGGUUCGGAUGAGACCAGGUGUUGCUUGUUCGGUAUCUCAACUCCAGAAAGAUGAAUUAAUCCUUGAAGGAAAUGACAUUGAGUUUGUUUCAAAUUCAGCUUCUUUGAUUCAGCAAGCCACAACAGUUAAAAACAAAAAUAUCAGGAAAUUUUUGGAUGGUAUCUAUGUCUGUGAAAAAGGAACUGUUCAGCAGGGUGAUGAACAAGAUCUAAGAGUUUUCCAGCUACAGAAACAAGAUGCCAUAUGACUCCUAAGACCUACUCGUGAUGUUUAAAUGAUGCAAUGAAAGACCUAUUGAUUUGGAA